UUAGGAAUCUUCCACAAUGGGCGAAAGCCUGAUGGAGCGACGCCGCGUGAGGGAUGAAGGUUUUCGGAUCGUAAACCUCUGAAUCAGGGACGAAAGGCGCUUUAAGCGAGAUGACGGUACCUGAGUAAUAGCACCGGCUAACUCCGUGCCAGCAGCCGCGGUAAUACGGAGGGUGCAAGCGUUACCCGGAAUCACUGGGCGUAAAGGGCGUGUAGGCGGGAAGUUAAGUCUGGCUUUAAAGACCGGGGCUCAACCUCGGGACUGGGCUGGAUACUGGCUUUCUAGACCUCUGGAGAGAUACUCGGAAUUUCUGGUGUAGCGGUGGAAUGCGUAGAUACCAGAAGGAACACCGAUGGCGAAGGCAGAGUAUUGGACAGAAGGUGACGCUGAGGCGCGAAAGUGUGGGGAGCGAACC
rnacentral:rRNA from 1 species